UUUUUUAGAUACUCCUGCACAGAGUAGUUCUAACGAAACCAAACCAAUUGGAAUGGAAGAGUUGAACACUGGAGUAUCCAACCAAACGAAUGAUUGAUUGGGAAUGGUUACUUUAUUGGAGGUGUUUGUAAAGCAAGGACUACAUUCAUCUCAAGUAGGCACUGGUUGUUACAGGCAGCUACACAGUUUGUGCCAUGUGUCAAGAUGGUUUUCAGUGCUAAACUUAAACUGACAUGAAGAUUAAAUAUCUUUCUUUCGUGAAAGAAGAGAAACUAUUCCAUAAUAGCCAAAUUAAAUAAAGCAGCAGUAGGAAUUCAUGGGUAUUUUUCAUGACUGCAGACGACUUUCACUUAAAAUGCUGUGAAUUAAACAGAUUACCUUUUAUCUGAUUGUCAUGUUUUAUGCACACAGUGCAAGGGCAUGGCCUACCCAAAAUAAAUGAAAAUCAAAGAAAAAAUUAUUCACCUUUCAGUUUCCAGUUUCACUGAACUGUCUCAGUUUCAUGCGGCACCACAGUGGAAGGAAGAUGUCUGGUAAAACAGGAAAAGAACUGUCAUUUUAUUUGCCUUACACAUAUUGGAAGUGUUUUGAAGAAAUUGCGAGUUCUUUUCAGGAGAGACUAUAUUUUGCUAUCAAAGGCACUAUAUAGAUGAGUGAGGCAUCUAGUCACUGUCAAGGAUACUUUUUUUGCCUGGAUUCAAGAGACUGCAUGCUGCAGGGUCAUUUGAAAAUUGACCUCAUGGGACAAUUUACGAGAGUCAAUGAACAGGCCUUUGAAGACCUGGCACCCCACCCAGAAUAAGUUUGUCUGCAUUAUGUUCUGGUGCACUCUGGCGUACUCAUCAUCCUGAUUUGGAUCAAGUACAUAAAAAGAGAGUCAAUAAACUAAUGGAUCGAGAGAGAUAACACCCCAGUGAUUAUGUUUCCUGUAAUGCAAUUUCCAUUAAAAUGUGCAGUCAAGUAAAUAAAAACAAAUACAAUUUCAGUUACAUUUUUUAAAGGCAGAACAUUUUAAAGUAGGUAUAUAAACAUUAAUAACAAAAACAUACUGAUUUAAAUGUUAUUUAAGUAUAGCAGAAGGACUGCACUUUAAAUUGAAUGUAUUGCUCAUUUUAAAUUCAUGUGUUACCUUUCUGUACAUAAAGUUUGUUAGAAAUCUGGUGAAAGUUCAUACGUGUGUGUGUGUGUGUGUGUGUGUGUGUGUGUGUGUGUGUGUGUGUGUGUGUGUGUGUGUGUGUGUGUGUGUGUGUGUGUGUGUGUGUUGGUGGGGUAUUUGUGAUUCCCACUAAUAAGUGUAAAUAAUAAAAGAAUAUGAUUGACAACUACUGACUUAUCAAGUUUGACCUCACUGGAUGGAAAAUAUGGAAUCACUCUUGAGGAAGGGAAUUGUGACACAUUUAGAAGCCAUGCAAGACAUUGCAAUCAAGGCAGUUUGGCUUCACAUCAGAAAAAUUAUUAAAAAAAAAAAAAAAGAUAGUAAAGCUUAUUAUUUAAAAAACAGAACCAUAAACCAGACAGUAGGUUUGGAUGUAGCCUACUCUGAUUUUAUCUAGACAUUGGGUAUAAAACUUAAAAUGUUAGGAAACAUAUCACACAGAAUUAGAAAUGAUCUACAUGGACAAACAAAUACAAAAGAUUAUGCAAUUAUGCAAACAAGGAGCAGUGCUGUGACUGGCUUUUUCCAAAGAUUAUAUUACUGUGGCUGGCCUUUUUCAAUGAUUAUAUAAGUGAGACAUAAGUUUGUUUAGCGAGAAAAA